rnacentral:rRNA from 1 species
AGUCGAACGAGCGAGAGAGAGCUUGCUUUCUCGAGCGAGUGGCGAACGGGUGAGUAACGCGUGAGGAACCUGCCUCAAAGAGGGGGACAACAGUUGGAAACGACUGCUGAUACCGCAUAAGCCCACAGCUCGGCAUCGAGCAGAGGGAAAAGGAGCAAUCCGCUUUGAGAUGGCCUCGCGUCCGAUUAGCUAGUUGGUGAGGUAAUGGCUCACCAAGGCGACGAUCGGUAGCCGGACUGAGAGGUUGAACGGCCACAUUGGGACUGAGACACGGCCCAGACUCCUACGGGAGGCAGCAGUGGGGAAUAUUGCACAAUGGGGGAAACCCUGAUGCAGCGACGCCGCGUGGAGGAAGAAGGUCUUCGGAUUGUAAACUCCUGUUGUUGAGGAAGAUAAUGACGGUACUCAACAAGGAAGUGACGGCUAACUACGUGCCAGCAGCCGCGGUAAAACGUAGGUCACAAGCGUUGUCCGGAAUUACUGGGUGUAAAGGGAGCGCAGGCGGGAAGACAAGUUGGAAGUGAAAUCCAUGGGCUCAACCCAUGAACUGCUUUCAAAACUGUUUUUCUUGAGUAGUGCAGAGGUAGGCGGAAUUCCCGGUGUAGCGGUGGAAUGCGUAGAUAUCGGGAGGAACACCAGUGGCGAAGGCGGCCUACUGGGCACCAACUGACGCUGAGGCUCGAAAGUGUGGGUAGCAAACAGG